rnacentral:rRNA from 1 species
GACGAACGCUGGCGGCGUGCUUAACACAUGCAAGUCGAACGGAAAGGCCUUUUCGGAGGUACUCGAGUGGCGAACGGGUGAGUAACACGUGGGUGAUCUGCCCUGCACUCUGGGAUAAGCCUGGGAAACUGGGUCUAAUACCGGAUAGGACCGCACUUUAGUGUGUGUGGUGGAAAGUUUUUUCGGUGUAGGAUGAGCCCGCGGCCUAUCAGCUUGUUGGUGGGGUAAUGGCCUACCAAGGCGGCGACGGGUAGCCGGACUGAGAGGUUGGUCGGCCACAUUGGGACUGAGAUACGGCCCAGACUCCUACGGGAGGCAGCAGUGGGGAAUAUUGCACAAUGGGCGCAAGCCUGAUGCAGCGACGCCGCGUGGGGGAUGACGGCCUUCGGGUUGUAAACUCCUUUCGCCAGGGACGAAGUGUUUUGUGACGGUACCUGGAGAAGAAGCACCGGCUAACUACGUG